CCGCCUUCGACGGAGGAAAAAUGAGCCAAUCGAACCCUGCAAGGCUGCAACGUUCUCACUCCACCAGCAUACCGUCUUGAAAACUAGGUCAACCGUUCGCACAAAUUUUUAGUUCAGCUAUUGACUUUAUAUGCUGCCUCUGCCAGCUUUAUUUAUCAGUUCUGCAACCGCUGACAAACUCUAAAACCCUCCCGCCUAAUUCUUAAACCUCAGUUUUUCUGCGUAAAUUAGCAAACAUUAGAAAAAAUGACGAGGAUAGCGUAAGCUCCGAUUCAAUUCACAAAACAGCCCUACAUUGAAGAUGUCGGCCCUCGCAAAAUAGAAAGUAUUCAGUUUUCUACAUUCGGAGAAUCCGAGAUUCUGAAAGCAGCUGAAAUACAAGUAUACCGCGGUGUAUAUUAUGAUUCUGCGAAAAGGCCUUGGGAGAAUGGCUUAUUAGACCCUCAUAUGGUGCUGUUUGGUCCAGGGCCCCGCAAACAAGAAUGGAAUUUGUGAAGCAUGCCAUGGGAACUUUAGGGAAUGUCCAGGGCACUACGGAUAUUUGACUCUUGCUCUACCA